AUUUUUAUAGCUUAAGUUAAGAGUAUAAUAYUGAAAAUAUUAAGGUGAUUAAAUUCUAAAAAUA
rnacentral:tRNA from 1 species